AUAAUAUUGUGUGAUUAUUUAAAAAUUUAAGAAUAAAUUUGGAAAAUUAAUAAUGUAAUAAACCAAAUUUGUAGUUUAUUUUGUAAUUAAGAAGAUUAGGUGUAUAAACCCUAUAAAUAAGAUUGUAUCUUUAUGAUGGAAUACACAUAUAUAAGAAAAACAAUUUUCUCUCACAAAUUUUUAUAUGGUAUCAAAGCUGUAAGGUUCUUUCCUCCUUUUUUCGAUUGGGUCCAUCAUCCCUGUCCAGUUCGACCAUUCGUUUAGGGUUCCGACGACAUCUCCGGCUCUAGGUGACAUUUGCAACUCCAGUUCGGCGUAGCUCCGUUCGUCGUCCUCGUCUAGACGCUGGCGUAGCUCUCCGACCGGUCCAACCCUCUACUCGUCGCUCUCAUCUGUCGUCCAAGUUUUUCCUCUCAGUCCAGCGACAUCUUGUCUUCUUUGGCAAAGUCCCAAGCCCUCGGACCAGUCCCUGUCAGCAUUCGACUCAGCUUCCUAGCACCCAUGCGAUUUCGUUUGGCAUCUGCUGCUUCGGUUUUCCCUGUGCAACUCAACCCUUCUCUAUCUCACUUCCUUCGGACUAAGGCCCAAGCUGCUGUUCCAGGCCCAAGUUUUUUUUGUUCAAAAAUUGUUCCAGGCCCAACAAUGUCAAGCAAUGAAGAAGUUUCAUCCCACACCAGUGGGCCCACUCAACCUACAGCCCAAACUCAAGCCUAAAGUCGGUCCUCUAGCUCCAUGGGCUCCAUUUACAGUCAUGAUAGUAGCUCUCUACACAUACAACCCACAAUGUUGAUGGUAAGAAUUAUCUAUAAUGGGCAUAGUCGGUAAAAUUGAAUAUUUGUGGGCGUCGCAAACUUGGGUACCUCACCGGUGACCUUCCAGCCCCUUCUCUGACGGAUGCAAACUACAAGGUAUGAUAGGCUGGGAAUUCUACUGUCCUUGCAUGGCUUAUUAAUUCAAUGGAUCCUAAAAUUAGUCGAAAGUAUUUAUUUUUUAAAACUGCUAAGGAAGUAUGGAAUGCUCCUAAAAAGAUGUACUCUGACCUUGGGAAUGCCUAUCAGAUUUUUGAAAUUCGUACAAAACUCAAAGAAAUCAAGCAAGGUAAUCACAUUGAUACCCAAUAUUUUUCAGACUUACAAGACCUGUGGUAAGAACUCGAUUUGUACCCGGAUACCACACCUUUGUGUGCUAACUGCACCCCACUCCAGCGCCAACAAUUAGAAAAAGAGCGCGUAUUUGAGUUUCUUAAUGGGUUGAACAGUAAUCUUGAUGAAGUUCGAGGUUGUUUGGUUAGUCAUUCUCCGUUUCCUGACACUGGAGAAGCUUUCUCUGAGGUUCGGCGUGAAGAAGCACAUCGUCACGUCAUGCUUACCACUCCAAAACAGCCGCCCAUCGAGAGCUCAGCACUGGUCUCAAAGUCUGGCCCCCCACAAUUUGGUAGAACCACUCCCGACCCUCGACCUAAUCGAAAGGGUGAAUGACCUUGGUGUGAUCACUGUCAACGUCAUGGGCACACUCGCUCCACUUGUUGGGAAAUUCAUGGUAAACCACCAAACUGGACUCGUUGCCAGAAUGACAAAAAUGCCUACCAAACUCAAACUGAGGGUCACACAAAUUAGAACGGUAUUGCUGCCCCUUCAUUCAGUAACAACUCGAGCAUUUAUACAUGCUCCUCAGUCAAUCCUCCAUGACACCCAAGUCUGGUCCAGAGUCUCACAGUGCCUCAGUUGCACAUUCUGAAUCUAUCAUCGGGGAGGAUGAUUGGCAGUGCUAGGAUUCGUGAAGGACUUUAUUUCUUUCAAUAUCCGCCCAAAGAGCAGCCUUCUUUUCAUUGUUUGACUUCAAGUUCUAUUUCUAAUUCUGUUUUUGAUUCAAAUUCUUGAACAAUUAUGUUAUGGCAUUGUUGACUUGGACAUUCAAGUUUUAUGUAUUUAAAACAUUUGUUUCCUUAUUUAUUUAUCAAUAAAAAGGUUGCUGAUUUUCAAUGUGAUAUUUGCCAACUUGCUAAACAUACUCGUGUGUCGUGUCCUCGCAAACUAUAUACACCUUCCAGCCCUUUCUCUCUUGUUCACAGUGACUUACGGGGACCAUCAAAAGUCACUACCUCUUCUGAGAACGUUGAUUUAUUACAUUCAUAGAUGACCAUACGCGGAUCACUUGGGUUUAUCUACUUAGGCACUAAUCCAAAACCAGCUAGGUCUUCCAAAACUUCCACCAAAUGAUUCACACAUAGUACCAAACCUCUAUUCGGACACUCUGUACUGAUAAUGGUACUGAAUAUUUCAAUACCAAUCUCGAUCCCUAUCUUCUACAACAUGAGAUUACUCAUCAAAGUUCCUGUGUGGAUACUCCGCAACAGAAUGGCAUAGCUGAAAAAAAAAUCGUCAUUUCUUAGAAGUAGCUCGUGCCAUUAUGUUCAAUAUGCAUGUUCCAAAAUAUCUUUGGGGCGAUGUUGUCCUUACCGCUACUUAUCUUAUUAAUCGCCUCCCCAGUCGAUCUUUUUAGUUCAAGACACCGUACUCUAUUCUUCAGUCUCUUUACCAUCAUAUUUCUACAAAUACUCUGCCAGUCAAAGUUUUUGGCUGCACUGCCUUUGUCUACAUGCACUCCCAACACUGGAGUAAACUUGAUCCUCGAGCCAUAAAAAUACUUUUUCUAGGUUAUCCUCCUACACAGAAGAGCUAUCGUUGUUACUAUCCUCUCACCAAGAAAUCCUACACCUCAAGGGAUGUCAUUUUUUUUUGAAAAUUCUCACUCCCAUCUUGCUUCAGGGGGAGCACAUCCAUCACGAGCAAGAAGCUCAGUGGUCGUGGGAUUUACAAUUACCCCUAGAUAUUUCAUUCCCUUUAGAGCCUGAUACUCCUCAAGAUCACCCAUCUUCGCUUCUCACGUAAACAGAGAAAUACGAGUGUAUACCAGAAGAGAGAAAUAAACAAGUAACAAAUCCAUAUCACAGUCAAGAAUUCGAUCCAGUGAUAGAACCACUUCCCUCAGAUGAUUCAGGUAAACUUCCCUCAAACACUCAGUCAAAUCUAGAUAUUCCUAUUGCAUUAAGGAAAUGAACUAGAUCUUGUAUCCAACACCCUAUUUCAGAAUUAAUCUCUUAUGCAAAAUUAUCAUAUCCAUUUAGAGCUUUUACCUCUAGUCUGUCAGAUAUUGUGAUUCCCAGGAAUAUCAGUAAAGCAUUUGGUACUCCUCAAUGGAAGACGACAGUUCUCGAAGAAAUAAAAACCCUCGAGCAUAAUGGAACUUGGAGACUAGUGGAGUUACCACCAGACAAGAAAGUAAUAGGGUGCAAAUGGGUAUUUAUGGUCAAAUACAAUGCAAAUGGAUCUAUUGAGAGAUACAAAACACGAUUAGUUGCCAAGGGUUUUACUCAAACCUAUGGAAUUGACUACAUUGAAACCUUCGCUCAGGUUGCCAAACUCAAUACUAUCAGAGUACUGCUCUCGCUAGCAGUCAACUUGGGUUGGGAGUUGCAUCAACUUGAUAUAAAAAAUGCAUUCUUGAAUGAAGAACUGGAAGAAGAAGUGUACAUGAGUCAGCCACUGAGUUUUGAAGAAUCUCUCAAUACAACCAAAGUGUGCAAGCUAAACAAAUCUCUCCAUGGUAUAAAACAAUCUCCUUGAGCAUGGUUCAAUCGGUUCCUGAAAGUAGUCAAAGGACUUAGAUACAUGCAAGGUCAAACAGAUCAUACCCUCUUCAUCAAACACUCAAAAAUUGGAAAAAUGUCAGCUGAUUGUGUAUGUUGAUGAUAUCAUUUUCACUGGCAACCAUACUGAAGAAAUGAUUUUGAUUAAAGAAAUGUUGGUAAACGAAUUUGAAGUCAAGGAUCUUGGUGCACUCAGGUAUUUUCUGGGAAUGGAAUUUGCUAGGAGCAAAAGAGGAAUUUCAGUUUCUCAAAGAAAAUACACUAUUGAUCUCCUAAAUGGAACAGGAAUGCUUGGCAGUAAACCCAGCAAAACUCCAAUCGAGCUCGGAGACGAGAAAAAUGUUUGAAGGAAGUUCAGUUGACAAAGGAAGGUACUAGCAGCUAGUUGGGAAGCUUAUCUACCUUUCACACACUAGACCUGAUAUUGUUUUUGCAGUAAAUCUGGUCCGUCAAUAUAUGCAUGAUCCAUGUUAAGGACAUCUUAAUGCAGUAUAUAGAAUUUUGAGGUAUCUAAAGCAAACACCAGUAAGAAGUAUUUUCUUCAAAAAGACAACUGAGAGGAAGGUUGAAGUAUUCAUAGAUGCAUAUUGAGUUGGAUCAGUUGAUGAUAGAGUCUACAUCUGGGUAUUGCACAAUUAUAUGGGGUAAUGUGGUGACAUGGCGAAGUAAAAAACAAACAGUGGUUGCAAGAAGUAGUGCAGAAGCCGAGUAUAGAGUCAUGGCACAUGGAGUAUGCGAAGCAAUAUGGAUUAAACGCCUAUUGGAAGAAUUGAAGAUUGAAUAUGAAGCCCCCAUUCAGCUUUACUGUGAUAAUCGGUCUACCAUCAGUAUUGCACAUAACCCUAUACAUCAUGACAGAAUUAAAUAUGUUGAAGUGGACCGACACUUUAUUAAAGAGAAGAUUGAUGGAGGAACUAUCAGCAUUAAGUAUGUACAGAUGGAUCAACAGUUGGUUGAUAUUCUCACAAAAGGGUUAUCCGAACGAGUCUUUGAUUUUCUAGUAAACAAGCUUGGACUCAUCAAUAUCUACAGGCCAUCUUGAGGGGGAGUAUUGACAGAUAAGAGAAAAUUAAAAAAAAAAAUUCCAUGAUUUGAUUGUAGCUGUAAAUUAGUAAUUUCUUUAUUUAGAAGAUUUGUAAUUAUCUUUGUGAUUUGUAGUUUAUUCUAUAAUUAAGAAAAUUAGGUGUAUAAACCCUAUAAAUAAGAUUGUAUCUUUCUGAUGGAAUACACAGAUAUAAGAAAAAUAAUUUUUUCUUACAAUUUUUUAUAAUAAACUUUAAUAUACUAUAAUUUACAAAAAAAUUGAAAUACUAUAACUCAAAAAGUACAUUUAUUGUGCUAAUAAAAUUAUACACCAUUGUAAAUGCAGAAAAAUUCACCGAGGCAAAGGUUUGAGUACAACCUAAGGAUCACAAAGCCUCACCUCACAAGCGAGGCCUCUGCCUCGCACACCUAGGCCUUAUGGUCUCGCAUUGGUGGCCUCCAUGUCACUCAAAGGCAAUGCGAGGUGUGGAUGAUGAAAAAUUGUAAGAGACGACGCCCAACAAACACUCAAGAGGAGUUCCAAGAGAUAGGAAAAGCCUCGAGGAUCAAAUUCGCACCUCCCUGGAGCUUGGGGGGCGAGCUCAAGCCUCUAUGGAGUUUAUUGUUUACUAAGAAACUAAUGUGAGCAUGGAGAAAUGACAAGAGAAGCCAAACAAGAUGCCAAUUCCCAAGAGGUGCUUUGAAGAGAUGGAGGAGACACGAGGACCAAGCUCACACCCCCUAGGACCCUAGGGGCGAGUUCAACUAAGGGGUGAGCUCAGGGCCCUUCUGAAGCCCAAACAUAGGUUCGACCCCUCCCAGGAAUAUGAAACGUGUGCAAGACUCCCUAGAAGCUAAGAAUAUGGUUCAGAGGACCUCAACAACCUUGGAAUACCAACUUAAGAUCAUCACUAAGCUUGAAAGGAAACAAGCUCAAAUAGUCCCUAUAGCCUGGAGGCAAAGUACCUCCUCAACCUUGAGCUAUAAAUGCCUGCACUCAAGCUCUCAAAGGCUUAUCAAGAUACAGACAGAGGAGGUACGAAAAAGGCCUGAGUAGUACGGAGUAUGAACUAGACAUGACCAUCAGAAGAGUAGUGGUCGUACUAAGUUGGAAGAGUAGGGGUCGUACAUGUUUAGACAGGUAGUGGUCGUACAUCCUCCCACGCCUCCGACAAAUGUCAAGCCUGAAGCUUGACACCACUAAUGCUUGCUCCAUGAUCCUCUGAGGUGCCACAUAGUACUACCACCUCUUUGUCCCCUUGUGAUCAUUUUUGUACUGAGAGAGGUUAAAAAAAUCAUUGUACCCAAAGGCAAUUGAGUGAUGCAAACACUUUUUCUCUGCAACUUCAUUUUAUGUUUUAAGUUCUUUUUCACAUUCUUCUAAGUUCAUUGAUUGUUUGCUAAACUUUGGAUUUUUUUUAUCUAAGUUCGUUGACGAGUUCUCACCGUCAACAACUACCAAAUUGGCUUUUAUAUUUUAUUUUUAUAUAUAAAAAAUAGAUACUAAUUAUCAUAAACAAAAUUUAGUAGUAUAGUAAAAGAAAGUUAAUAUUCCAUGCAAAACAAUGUACAAGAUUUUUUUUCUUCGAAUGGGAUUAGGAGGCACCAAAUUUAAUUUGUUUUUCUUCUUCAUGCCCAUUUUUUUGGCAUAGCAACGCUCUACACUGCUACCAUGAUAUAAGAUUUUAUAUUUUCGAUUUCUUUGAAUGAGUGGAGUUGCUCUGUAAACUAUUGCUUAAAUUUGUGUUUCUCUUGAAUGGGUGGAGGGGCGACCAUUCUUGGGUACCUCGACACCCUAAACUAUUAAGCCAAAUUUGUGUUUCUCCAUUGAACUUGCGAGAUGGUGCUUGGGUGUCAUAAUUUGUUGCUAAAUUUAGUUUAAUUCCUUAAGCGGGUGGAAGGUGGCCAUUUUUGGGGUCUAGACUCCCAAAGCUAUUGUCAAAAUUUAGAUUUGUUUAUUUUUCUUAUUUGAAUAAGUGUAUAUAUAUUUUGGAUGCAGGGUGUCCAGGCCAAUACCGAUAUACUACAAUAUAAAAUUUAAUAUAUCAUGCUAGUAAAUUUAUAUACUAUAAUUUUUUUUCCUUCAACAAAAACAAUUAAUAAUAAAUAACAAUAGCGAAAUUUGAUAUAUUAUAGCAUAAAUAAUAAUAGAAAAAAAAUCAAGUAAUACAAUUUUGAUAUACAAAAUAAUAUAUCAUACUACACAAAAAUAAUAUACCAACAACACUAAAAAUAAAGAAAAAAUCAAUAUAGCUUUAAAAUAAAAUUAAUUGAAGAGAGAGAGAGAAUAUGGUAAAUUUGGAAAUUAAAAAAUAUAGUAAAGUAGAAGAAAUAAGAAACGGGCUAUUUUUCUCUAACUUAAAAUUAAGGACAUUUAGCUUUGUAAACUUCUUACAUAGGAUUAUUUGUUGUAAUUUCUUAUUCUUUUUCUCACCUCAUUUUAUCCUCUUUUCCUCAAUUCACUUUCUUCCUCUUAUAUUUCUCACCCCACUCGCUCGGUUCACUUUUUUUUUUUACCUUGCUUUCUUUCUUAUCAUUCUCUUUCUUCAGUUUAUAUCU